GGUUUACACUUGAUCUCUGAACUUCAGGUAAGUUCCAUGUUUGACAAGCACAUCUACUGAUGCA